AGCAGCAGCCGCGGGAAUACGUAGGGUGCGAGCGUUAAUCGGAAUUACUGGGCGUAAAGCGUGCGCAGGCGGUUGUGUAAGACAGGUGUGAAAUCCCCGGGCUUAACCUGGGAACUGCGCUUGUGACUGCACAGCUAGAGUAUGGCAGAGGGGGGUGGAAUUCCACGUGUAGCAGUGAAAUGCGUAGAGAUGUGGAGGAACACCGAUGGCGAAGGCAGCCCCCUGGGCCAAUACUGACGCUCAUGCACGAAAGCGUGGGGGGCAAACAGGAUUAGAUACCCCCGUAGUCCCUGUCUCUUAUAA
rnacentral:rRNA from 1 species